GGCGCAGUUGCGGUAGCCCGGUUAGCGCGCCUGGUUCGGGACCAGGAGGUCGGAGGUUCAAAUCCUCUCGCCCCG
rnacentral:tRNA from 1 species